GUAGUUAAUUUUUCUUUGGGAAU
rnacentral:miRNA from 1 species